AGAGCAUCAUCCGUGUGGUUUUCCACGACCGCCGGCUGCAGUACACAGAGCACCAGCAGCUGGAGGGAUGGCGCUGGAGCCGGCCCGGGGACAGGAUCCUGGACAUCGAUAUUCCACUGUCUGUUGGUAUCUUGGACCCCAGGGCCAGCCCGACCCAGCUGAACGCAGUCGAAUUUUUAUGGGACCCUUCGAAGAGAGCCUCUGCGUUCAUUCAGGUGCACUGUAUCAGCACCGAGUUCACUCCCAGGAAGCACGGGGGCGAGAAGGGCGUGCCUUUCCGGGUGCAGAUCGAUACAUUUAAGCAGAACGAGAAUGGGGAGUACACAGAGCACUUGCACUCGGCCAGCUGCCAGAUCAAGGUG